GAUAGCGAAAGAGGCGGAGGUGGAAGAGGAAAAGGAAGAAGCAGAAAUGAUUUUUCUUUUCUCUUCUUCUUCUUCUUCCCUCUCUUUCCGCUGUU
rnacentral:miRNA from 1 species